CUAAACUCGGCCAUGGUUACUGGCUAACGAGUUUUAGAGUAGAAGAAUCUACUCUGAUAUCAUGUAAAUUUUGAAACUUAAUGAUUUCUCAUUAAUUUACAGUAAUCAAAAUAUCAAAAUAUAUACAAGGGGUUUGCCAUGAAUUAGGCCUCAAAGCCAGAUAACAAAUCUUCUAAAAUAACUAAUCCCAUAAGGAUGUGAUUGUGGCC
rnacentral:lncRNA from 1 species